rnacentral:lncRNA from 1 species
UCUUUCCUUUCUUUUCUUGAGACAAGGACUUAUGUAUCACAGGCUGGCCUCAAACUCUAUCUCAGUGGAAGAGAAUAUGACCCUAUGCUCAGUCUCAUUAGUUCCUAAUGGGAUGUGACAAAGCAUUUGCAAUGUGUGGUCAGAGUUCCUUCCUGCUAGCCAAUUAUGGCGAUGACCUACAUUCUCUCACUGACAGAGCAGCACACUCACCUUGAAAGCUGGUGCCUGUCUAGAAAGACCACAGUCAGAGCAUACAGCACCCAGCUGUGAGCGCUAAAGAAUUCCUGAAUGACCAGGCAAGUCUACAGACACGGUGUAAGUAGUAAAUGCUAACAGUUACCACACAGCUGCUUGUGUAAACUAUAGAAGAGAGAGACCGGAGUUCGGCAGACCAGCCAAAAAGCCCUGGAUGCCUCCUGAUGACCUACAUCUGCCCUCUGCCUGGAGCCAAUAAUGCAAGCACUUGGUAGACAGUAUUUUCAUCACGAAGCAUGUAGAGAAAAAAGAUUUCACAACUUCCUAGAGCACAUCCAAGCUCCCACUGUGUCCUCUGGCGCCGUGGAUAAAUCCCUCUUAUUCAUCUGACUUCAGCCUAUGCUCCUCAGAGGUGGGUAUAACUCUCCUUCCCUGCCCUUCCUGUUGUAACUGACUGUGAAGUCACAGCUGGUAUGGUGUUUCCAAAGUCACAGCCUGGCAAAAUGGCUGGGAGAGCAGACCCUUGCUGCCAAGCUAGAUGACCUGAGUUUGUUCCCUGGGAAACAUGUGAUGAAAGAAAAUAUAAAACUGACGACUAACCACAUGCACACUGUGGUACACACGUGUGCACACAUUCGCAGAAUAAGUAAAUAAUGUAACUAAAAAUUUAAAUGUAAUGACCAGAGGUGUUUCCUCAUGCCUACAAUUCCAGCACCCAGGAGACUGAGGCAGUAGGAUUGUUAAGAGGUUAAAUUUAGCCUGGGCUAACAUUCAGAUUGAGUUUAAGGCACGUCUUGGCAACUUUUUCAGACACUGAAAAAAUACUGUGAAAAUCAUGAAGAUAAAUUUGCAAUGAGAUAAAGAGGGCUAACGCUGGUAACUUAACUUUAUGAAAAUACUGUUUGCAUAUGUAUCAUCCUUAGAUGUGCACAGAUAGACAGACUCUAACAUCUGUAAGUACUUAGGCAGAGCACAAACGAACGAACAAACAAACAAAAACAACCACAGAAAUUUACUUAGCAUUUUAAAAUUUUAGCUAGACUUUUAACUGAAUUGAAAUUUUAAGAAGUUACACAUUUUUAUUGGACACCCUGGGGUAGGUGUACAUUGUGUGUUAAUUGAAUAAGUAAAUGCAUUUGUGCCCUUGAAUGCUUGUCAUUUCUUGGGAAACAUUCAAAGUCUCUCUUGUAGGCUUUGAGAGUAUGGUACAUUAUGUUUCUAUGUGGUUGCCCUGACGUGCAAUACCAGAGUGUUUUACUCCUAUCUAACUCAGUCCCCACUGAUCAUCCUUUUCCUUCUCCCUCGUGUCCCCAGUCUCUGGUCACCAGCAUCCCACUCCCGAUUUCUGUGGCAUCCACUGACUUUCUGAUGUUCUCUGUGAGUGAGCCACACAGUCCCAUCUCUGCCCAACAGAUUAAUUCAGCUUAACUGCUUCCAGUUUCAUACAUGCUGCAAAUCAUGGGGUUUUAUUCUUCUUUUUAUGGCCAAACAGAAGGUCCAUUGUGAACGCUUCCCACAUUUUCUUUAAGUAUUCCUCCACUGAUAGACAUGAAGUUGUUUUGUUUCUUGGCUAUCGUAGGCUUCGAAUUUUUUUAUGCUCCCUGGAGCUGACAGAACACUGCACUCCUGGACGUGCUAUAAUCAUAAGUGUGAACACUGUGGUCAGGGAAAGGUCCAGACUUAGGUUUAUUCCCCUAAAGUUACAACUUCAGAGAAGCAUUCAGAGUAAUAUUCGGACAAAUAUCUGGUACCAAGGUCUAUCCACAUUAGUGCAGAAAACUAGUCACCACACACUAUAAAGCAUUACACUGUGAAAAUGAGAUUUUAUGAAUUUGUGGUCAAUUUUAUGUUGCAGGGAUUGUCAUACUUUUUGAUGUUUUGUGAUGUAUUUUGUGACCGUGAGACUGUUUUUGCCUUCUUCCCCUUCAUGAAGAAUCCUUGGGGACUAUUUGCUGCAGAGCUGAAGUAAACAUAAGAGAAGAGUGUUAGGAAAAUCCACAGGAAAUAUAGUGAGAUCACUUCUGGAUUUUUAAAAUAGAUGAUCUGGGAUAUUGUAAAUAAAAGUUUGAACAU